AGUUUCCUUGCUGAUGAGAAGGGAGGGAAAAGCUGCAUGGUGGGCACCAGAAGUGGGCAGGAGUUGCCAACCUUCAAAAGUGGCUCUGUGCAGUUUCUCAGGCACGAUGAAAGGCAGCAAGACAGGAGGCCAGAAAAGCAGGCCAACCCAGGAGAAUGUAAGAUUCCUGCACCCAAUCUCUAACAAAGAGGGAGAAUAGCAUUAAUGAAAAGCCAUAAUGGAUACCUUCUUCUAUGAACAGCUAAUGGGAAAAAAAUGCCCCAAGAAACACCUGAAACCUUGAGCAGUUUCUAUGGAAACCACAGUCUGUUUUUAUUCUGAAGGCAUUUGAGUAAAUGUGAAGAGAUGAAAGCCUUAGACCUGCUGCGUGUAUGCAGGGUGGGGAUGGUGUUCUAAAAGCCUGAUCUUAGCUUCAUGGACUACUACAAUAGUGUUCUCUCUCUCUCUCUCUCUCUCUCUCUCUCUCUCUCUCUCUCUCUCUCUCUCUCUCCCCUCUCUCCCUCUUUCCCUUUCCCCCCUCUCUCCCUCUUUCCCUUUCUCAUAAUUUAAAGUAGCAAACAAAUGGCAUUUUCAUUGUCUAAGAAAAUAAUUCUGGUGUCCUUUAUUUUGUAUGUGCCAUUUAACUAAUGUUGCAUUCUGUUUUAGUAGGUGUCUGUUUCCCACAUGUGAAAUAGGGCUUACAAGUAUCACAUGCUUUUGACCUCCAUUACCUGUGCAAAUACCAUAUUAUCCAGAAGGAAGGAUGUGAGAAAAGGUAGUCACACAAAGAAGGGACAUAUAAAGAAGAGGAAGAAAAAGGAGAAGAAAGAAGCAGGAAGAGGAGGAGGGAGGGAAAGAAGAGGAGGAGGAAGAGGAGGAAGAGAAGAAAGCCUAAGGUUAUCUUCUUGGGACCUGCCCCCUUUGCCACGAGAAAAGCUUGUCUUAAGGAGCUUCCUUCAGCCUGGACACUGAGAUGAAGACCCGGAGCAGCUCAGUCUAGUGCAGAAAAGCCUAGUUACACAUGCAAUUGUUCGUUCUUCUAAUGUGGGAGGCCUACAUUGCAAUAGAAUAAUCUUCCAUUACUUUGUAUUUAGCUCUUCAUUAUUAUACAGUGCCCAUUCCAAACAAGGGACGAAUUGUGACAACAUCCUCAUCUCCAAAGCAUGUGUCCUGCAGAUCAAAGCUCUGUCUGCCAAUUUGACUGUUUUUAAAACGUUCCCAAUGCAUUUGAGUGUAUUGAUGCUUUUCUUUGGAUUUUCCUCCUCACUUUUCAGCACUAUGAAGAGAAUGUUGCUCUCUUUAAAGUUCUGGCAGGCACAUUCUAGAAAUGUUUGUGAAGAGUGAGUAUUCAGUAAUUGUUGCUAAUUGCCUCUGCUCUCCACUUCACAUUGCUACUACAGACCUGGCAAAAGACUCUUUGUUCCAAUGAAGCCCAUCUUUGUUUUCAGAUACUAAUCAUUCUUUUGGAAGGAAUGAACGUUGCUUUCUAAAGCAAGCACCAAAUAUGCAUUGCACAUGGAAAGAAAGUUCUCGCUGGUAUAUGCAUCACACACACAUACACACACACACACACACACACACACACACACACACUCACACACCAAGAUCUUAAUUAAAGGCCAAUUAUUUCUCUCUUUUAAAUAUUUGGAAAAUCCAAUUUCUGAAACAUUUUCAUUUGAUUAGCCCAAAAUAUAUAUAAUCAUGAUCACAUUAAUAACUCUUAUUUUUAUCACAUCACUUUACUAGCAAAAACAAAAAUGUUAGUAACAUUAAAAAUAAAUAAGUUAAAUAAGCAUAAGCAUAUUUCAAAGAUAAUUUGGGUUAUAAAUACUUCGAAAGUCUGACAUUUGACGUAAUGGAUUUGAGACUGAGUUAAAUCACGCUAUAUUCAGUAUCACCAAGCUUAUAGGUUGAUAGCAGUAGAUGUUUAAAAAAUAACUUACAUGAUGGAUGAGAUAUAGUUGCUUAAUAGGAUCACCUUCAACUCCACUGUGACAUUUCUUACACAUUAAAGAUAAUUGUAUAUUCAAAUAUCAAGUUUGGGACCUGCCCCCACCCCCCCCACACCUUACAGGAUCUAAGUGAAGUUGAUGUAUCAUUUUCUACAAGGAAUACACAGUGUAAACUAAGAGAAUAUCUAUUGUCAGAGUGACUUGAGAUA